CACGUAGGGCGCAAGCGUUGUCCGGAAUUAUUGGGCGUAAAGAGCUCGUAGGCGGUCUGUUGCGUCCGCUGUGAAAACUCGGGGCUUAACCCCGAGCCUGCAGUGGAUACGGGCAGACUAGAGGUAGGUAGGGGAGAAUGGAAUUCCUGGUGUAGCGGUGAAAUGCGCAGAUAUCAGGAGGAACACCGGUGGCGAAGGCGGGUCUCUGGUCCGAUACUGACGCUGAGGAGCGAAAGCGUGGGGAGCGAACAGG
rnacentral:rRNA from 1 species